rnacentral:snRNA from 1 species
CUGCUCACUUCAAUAACAUAUAUACUAAAAUUGGAAUGAUACAGAGAAGGUUACCAUGUCUUCUGUGCCAAGAUGUCAUGCAAAUUCAUGAGGCAUUCCAUAUAUUU